GCUAAACGCGAAGAACCUUACCAAGGCUUGACAUGGAUUUCUAAGCACGUGAAAGCGUGUGACCCUUCGGGGGACUUCCACAGGUGCUGCAUGGCCGUCGUCAGCUCGUGUCGUGAGAUGUUGGGUUAAGUCCCGCAACGAGCGCAACCCUUGUGAACAGUUGCCAGCGCGUCAUGGCGGGAACUCUGUUCAGACUGCCCAGAUCAACUGGGAGGAAGGUGGGGACGACGUCAGGUCAGUAUGGCCCUUACGCCUUGGGCUGCACACGUACUACAAUGCCCAGCACAAUGAGAACCGAUGCCGCGAGGUGGAGGAAAUCUGCAAAACUGGGCUCAGUUCGGAUUGGAGGCUGCAACUCGCCUCCAUGAAGUUGGAGUCGCUAGUAAUGGGGCAUCAUCUACGGCCCCGUGAAUACGUUCCCGGGUCUUGUACACACCG
rnacentral:rRNA from 1 species